rnacentral:lncRNA from 1 species
GAACAAAGUGCCUUAUUUGGGACUUAGGAAUUACAAUUCGGGAGACACAGACUCAGGAAAGCCAAAGGCCGUACUUGAAAGAUUAUAUAGGCUUCCUGAAGAA